rnacentral:rRNA from 1 species
GGACCCGCACAAGUAGUGGAGCAUGUGGUUUAAUUCGAAGAUACGCGCAGAACCUUACCAACACUUGACAUGUUCGUCGCGACUUUAAGAGAUUAAAGUUUUCGGUUCGGCCGGACGAAACACAGGUGCUGCAUGGCUGUCGUCAGCUCGUGUCGUGAGAUGUUGGUUAAGUCCCGCAACGAGCGCAACCCUCACUUUUAGUUGCCAUCAUUAAGUUGGGCACUCUGAAAGAACUGCCAGUGAUAAGCUGGAGGAAGGUGGGGAUGACGUCAAGUCCUCAUGGCCCUUACGUGUUGGGCUACACACGUGCUACAAUGGCAGUGACAGAGGGACGCUACCAGGUGACUGGAUGCAAA